rnacentral:rRNA from 1 species
GACGAACGCUGACAGAAUGCUUAACACAUGCAAGUCAACUGUGGCGGACGGGUGAGUAACGCGUAAAGAACCUGCCUCACAGCUAGGGACAACAUCUGGAAACGAAUGCUAAUACCUGAUACUGUGAGAGAGCUUUGCGUCCCAUUAGCUAGUUGGAGAGGUAACGGCUCACCAAGGCGAGGGUGGGUAGCCGGCCUGAGAGGGUGAUCGGCCACAAGGGGACUGGGACACGACCCUUAGUCAUGCGGGAGGCAGGAGUGGGUGAUAUUGGACGAAGGCCCGAAGUCUGAUCCAGCGAUUCUGUGUGCACGAUGAAGUUUUCGGGAUGUAAAGUGCUUUCAGUUAGGAAGCGGUACCUACAGAGGAAGUAACGGCUAAAUACGUGCCAGCAGCCGCGGUAAUUC